rnacentral:rRNA from 1 species
GCAAGUCGAGCGAUAACAGACUCCUUCGGGAGUGCUGAUAGCGGCGGACGGGUGAGUAAGGCAUAAGUAACUUGCCCAUUAGUUGGGGAUAACCCUUAAAACAGGGGCUAAUACCGAAUAAGCUCUUUAGAACGCAUGUUCUUUAGAGGAAAGGCUUCGGCCGCUGAUGGAGAGGCUUAUGUUUGAUUAGCUAGUUGGUAAGGUAAUGGCUUACCAAGGCUACGAUCAAUAGCUGGUCUGAGAAGAUGAUC